CAGCCGCCGCGGUAAAACAGAGGGUGCGAGCGUUAAUCGGAUUUACUGGGCGUAAAGCGUGCGUAGGCGGCUUUUUAAGUCGGAUGUGAAAUCCCUGAGCUUAACUUAGGAAUUGCAUUCGAUACUGGGAAGCUAGAGUAUGGGAGAGGAUGGUAGAAUUCCAGGUGUAGCGGUGAAAUGCGUAGAGAUCUGGAGGAAUACCGAUGGCGAAGGCAGCCAUCUGGCCUAAUACUGACGCUGAGGUACGAAAGCAUGGGGAGCAAACAGGAUUAGAGACCCGCGUAGUCCCUGUCUCUUAUAA
rnacentral:rRNA from 1 species